rnacentral:rRNA from 1 species
UACGUAGGGUGCGAGCGUUAAUCGGAAUUACUGGGCGUAAAGCGUGCGCAGGCGGUUCGUUAAGUCAGAUGUGAAAGCCCCGGGCUCAACCUGGGAACUGCAUUUGAAACUGGCGGGCUUGAGUGUGGCAGAGGGGGGUGGAAUUCCGCGUGUAGCAGUGAAAUGCGUAGAGAUGCGGAGGAACACCGAUGGCGAAGGCGGGUCUCUGGGCAGUAACUGACGCUGAGGAGCGAAAGCGUGGGGAGCGAACAGG